UACGUAGGGUGUGAGCGUUAAUCGGAAUUACUGGGCGUAAAGGGCGCGUAGGCGGCCGGCCAAGUCGGGUGUGAAAUCCCUCGGCUCAACCGAGGAACUGCACUCGAUACUGGCUGGCUCGAGUCCGGGAGGGGAUGGUGGAAUUCCCAGUGUAGCGGUGAAAUGCGUAGAUAUUGGGAAGAACACCGGUGGCGAAGGCGACCAUCUGGACCGGAACUGACGCUGAGGCGCGAAAGCCAGGGGAGCGAAUGGG
rnacentral:rRNA from 1 species